UACGGGGGGAGCAAGCGUUGUUCGGAUUUACUGGCGUAAAGGCGCGUAGGCGGCGUGACAAGUCACUUGUGAAAUCUCCGGGCUUAACCCGGAGCGGCCAAGUGAUACUGUCGUGCUAGAGUGCGGAAGGGGCUACUGGAAUUCUCGGUGUAGCGGUGAAAUGCGUAGAUAUCGGAAGGAACACCAGUGGCGAAAGCGGCUCCUGGUCCAGCACCGACGUUCAGGCACGGAAAGCGUGGGGAGCAAACAGG
rnacentral:rRNA from 1 species